rnacentral:rRNA from 1 species
AUUGAACGCUGGCGGCAGGCCUAACACAUGCAAGUCGAGCGGAGCGGCGGACGGGUGAGGAAUGCCUAGGAAUCUGCCUGGAAGUGGGGGAUAACGUCAGGAAACGGGCGCUACUACCGCCUACGAUCCGAUGCGCCUCGGUAGGAAUAGCUAGUUUGUGGGGUAAAGGCAUACAAGGGCGACGAGCCGUAACUGGUCUGAGAGGAUGAUCAGUCACACUGGAACUGAGACACGGUCCAGACUCCUACGUGAGGCAGCAGUGGGGAAUAUUGGACAAUGGGCGAAAGCCUGAUCCAGCCAUGCCGCGUGUGUGAAGAAGGUCUUCGGAUUGUAAAGCACUUUAAGUUGGGAGGCGUUACCAACAGAAUAAGCACCGGCUAACUUCGUGCCAGCCGCCGCGGUAAUAC